GUCUACAGCCAUGCUGCCCUGAACAAGCCCGAUCCCGUCUAAUCUUUGAAACUAAGCAGGGUUGGGCCUGGUUAGUACUUGGAUGGGAGAUUCUAAAAUAAACUCUUCUUGAGAAAAUGUAGAAG
rnacentral:rRNA from 1 species